rnacentral:rRNA from 1 species
UACGUAGGGUGCAAGCGUUAAUCGGAAUUACUGGGCGUAAAGCGUGCGCAGGUGGCUCUGCAAGACAGAUGUGAAAUCCCCGGGCUUAACCUGGGAACUGCAUUUGUGACUGCAUGGCUAGAGUGUGGCAGAGGGGGAUGGAAUUCCGCGUGUAGCAGUGAAAUGCGUAGAUAUGCGGAGGAACACCGAUGGCGAAGGCAAUCCCCUGGGCCUGCACUGACACUCAUGCACGAAAGCGUGGGGAGCAAACAGG